ACGAAUAGAGAAAGACUUGCUUUUUCUUAGGCGUCGACCGGCGCACGGGUGAGUCMASGCASWAUCCAGWCYUGCCCAYCACGUUGGGRAUAACCUUGCGAAAGUAAGACUAAUACCCAAUGAUAUCUCUAGAAGACAUCUGAAKGAGAUUAAAGAUUUAUCGGUGAUGGAUGGGGAUGCGUCUGAUUAGCUUGUUGGCGGGGUAACGGCCCACCAAGGCGACGAUCAGUAGGGGUUCUGAGAGGAAGGUCCCCCACAUUGGAACUGAGACACGGUCCAAACUCCUACGGGAGGCAGCAGUGAGGAAUAUUGGUCAAUGGRCGAGAGCCUGAACCAGCCAAGUAGCGUGCAGGAUGACGGCCCUAUGGGUUGUAAACUGCUUUUAUAAGGGAAUAAAGUGAGWSUCGUGASUACUUUUUGCAUGUACCUUAUGAAUAAGGACCGGCUAAUUCCGUGCCAGCAGCCGCGGUAAUACGGAAGGUCCGGGCGUUAUCCGGAUUUAUUGGGUUUAAAGGGAGCGUAGGCCGGAGAUUAAGCGUGUUGUGAAAUGUAGACGCUCAACGUCUGCACUGCAGCGCGAACUGGUUUCCUUGAGUACGCACAAAGUGGGCGGAAUUCGUGGUGUAGCGGUGAAAUGCUUAGAUAUCACGAAGAACUCCGAUUGCGAAGGCAGCUCACUGGAGCGCAACUGACGCUGAAGCUCGAAAGUGCGGGUAUCGAACAGGAUUAGAUACCCUGGUAGUCCGCACGGUAAACGAUGGAUGCCCGCUGUUGGUCUGAAUAGGUCAGCGGCCAAGCGAAAGCAUUAAGCAUCCCACCUGGGAGUACGCCGGCAACGGUGAAACUACAAAGGAAUUGGACCGGGGGCCCGCACAAGCGGAGGAACAUGUGGUUUAAUUCGAUGAUACGCGAGGAACCUUACCCGGGCUUGAACUGCCAGUGACGGUAGCAGAGACGCUACUUUCUUCGGACACUGGUGGAGGUGCUGCAUGGUUGUCGUCAGCUCGUGCCGUGAGGUGUCGGCUUAAGUGCCAUAACGAGCGCAACCCUCAUUCUCGUUUGCCAUCAGGUAAAGCUGGGCA
rnacentral:rRNA from 1 species